rnacentral:rRNA from 1 species
UACGGGGGGGGCAAGCGUUGUUCGGAAUUACUGGGCGUAAAGGGCUCGUAGGCGGCCAACUAAGUCGGACGUGAAAUCCCCAGGCUCAACCUGGGAACUGCGUCCGAUACUGGAUGGCUUGAAUUCGGGAGAGGGAUGCAGAAUUCCAGGUGUAGCGGUGAAAUGCGUAGAUAUCUGGAGGAAUACCGGUGGCGAAGGCGGCAUCCUGGACCGGCAUUGACGCUGAUGAGCGAAAGCGUGGGGAGCGAACAGG